GCCUCAUUAAGUUCUACUAAUAUCCGUCUUGACCUGACUCAAAAUCAGGUUCCUUCGGGAGUGCGAGUUCGAGUCUCGCCCUCGGCACCA
rnacentral:tRNA from 1 species